AGCUCGUAGUUGGAUUUCUGUUAAUUGCUUUAUAUAACUUAUGCUUUGCAGCAUAUUUAUAUAGUAUUAACAUAAUUCAUAUUACUAUAUUUUUCUAGUAUAUGAAACUUUACUUUGAGAAAAUUAGAGUGCUUAAAGCAGGCUUUUGCCUUGAAUACUUCAUCAUGGAAUAAUAAUAAAAGAUUUUUAUCUUUCUUUAUUGGUUCUAAGAUAGAAAUAAUGAUUAAUAGGGACAGUUGGGGGCAUUUGUAUUUAACAGUUAGAGGUGAAAUUCUUAGAUUUGUUAAAGACAAACUAGUGCGAAAGCAUUUGCCAAGGAUGUUUUCAUUAAUCAAGAACGAAAGUUAGGGGAUCGAAGACGAUCAGAUACCGUCGUAGUCUUAACCAUAAACUAUGCCAACUAGAGAUUGGUGGUUGUUCCUUACUCCUUCAGCACCUUA
rnacentral:rRNA from 1 species